rnacentral:rRNA from 1 species
GUGCCAGCAGCCGCGGUAAAACGUAGGAGGCGAGCGUUAUCCGGAUUUACUGGGUGUAAAGCGCGUGCAGGCGGUUUGUUAAGUUGGCUGUGAAAGCUCCCGGCUCAACUGGGAGAGGUCGGUCAAGACUGGCAAACUGGAGAGCAGUAGGGGAAGGUGGAAUUCCGGGUGUAGUGGUGAAAUGCGUAGAUAUCCGGAGGAACACCAGUGGCGAAGGCGGCCUUCUGGACUGCAUCUGACGCUCAGACGCGAAAGCUAGGGGAGCAAACGGGAUUAGAUACCCUUGUAGUCC